GGCGAACGCUGGCGGCGUGCCUAAUACAUGCAAGUCGAGCGCAGGAAAUCGACGGAACCCUCCGGGGGGAAGUCGACGGAAUGAGCGGCGGACGGGUGAGUAACACGUAAAGAACCUGCCCUCAGGUCUGGGAUAACCACGAGAAAUCGGGGCUAAUACCGGAUGGGUCAUCGGACCGCAUGGUCCGAGGAUGAAAGGCGCUUCGGCGUCGCCUGGGGAUGGCUUUGCGGUGCAUUAGCUAGUUGGUGGGGUAAUGGCCCACCAAGGCGACGAUGCAUAGCCGACCUGAGAGGGGGAUCGGGCACACUGGGGCUGAGACACGGCCCAGACUCCUACGGGAGGCAGCAGUAGGGAAUCUUCCACAAUGGACGAAAGUCUGAUGGAGCAACGCCGCGUGAACGAUGAAGGCCUUCGGGUCGUAAAGUUCUGUUGUAAGGGAAGAACAAGUGCCGCAGGCAAUGGCGGCACCUUGACGGUACCUUGCGAGAAAGCCACGGCUAACUACGUGCCAGCCGCCGCCGUAA
rnacentral:rRNA from 1 species